AUGAUUCUGGGAUGUAAGAUGCAAGAAUCCCUCGUGGGCAGACAGGUCACACAGGUUAUUCUGAAGGAGAACCUACGGGAUAUGGUGGCUAACAAGGAACCAGGUUUUCUUCAGGUUGUCACUGAAUCACAAACUGGUUUGGGAUUGAAGGGACCUUCCAGAUCGUCUCGUUCCACCCCCUGCCAGGGGCAGGGACACUUUCCACCACCCCAGGCUGCUCCAAGCCCUGUCCAGCCUGGCCUGGAACACUUCCAGGAUGGGGCAGCCCCAGCUUCUCUGGGCACACUGUGCCACAGCCUCAAACCCUCACAGGGAAGAAUUUCUUUCCAACACCUAACCCUGCCCUCUGGCAGAGCAAAGCCAUUAUCCCUUGUCCCAAGUCCCUCGCCAGCCUCUCUCCUCUAUCCUAAACCCCUAAUUUGUUUCAGGAGAAUGGACAUGCCCAUCACCUGAAGUAACCAGUGAGAAGUGCGGGCAACUCCACUCUCUCAUUUCCCAGCCUGUGAGGAAACAAGCCCAGUGACAAUUCUCUCAGGGCAGGGUAUGUCGAUAAUGAAACAGAAACUGCAGGGAGCAGGGGAGACUUUUGUCCUCUGCCAAAGGCGGGAGCUCAAAGCUUCAACCGUUGGUGCCAUUUUCUCACACUGUGCAUUGCCUCACGGUCUGUGUUUACAGCAAACCUGAUGCCUGUCUUUCUGUGCCUGAUUUGGCAAGAUUGGAAAUGGCAGAUGAAAGCUGCAGUUUCACAGAGCUUUGACACCUGGGAAAGGCUCUGAUUCACAUCAGCACAACUGCACCAUCUGAUCUGAAGUGCCCGAAGCUCUUGUCCCAGUACAGGUAUUUCACACGUUCCACAGUGAAAUUACAGGGCUCUGCUGCACCUUGGCUAUAAAUCAGCCUUACAUCUAAAAACGAGCUACUGAACAUUCCCAGGAAUGUGCAAAUCUGCGUUCCAAAGUCUGCUACAUGUAUUAUUUCAGUAUUUCCUGCUGCUUCUCCCCUUUCGCUCCAACUCUGAAAAAAGCUUUUAAAAGGGUGAUGAGAGAGUGCUCGGCACCUCAGCCAACCCAGCCCAGAGCUUCCUACAGAGCUGUUCACCCAGGUGUAAUCCUACAGACCCUUUCCCGUGGGCUAAACAUGGUUUAAAAAUUCAGCACUGCCCUUCUAAGCAAGGAUAUUCACACUGCAGGAAGCAGAGCUCUCUGAAUAAACCCCUGGGUUUACAGUCUGGGGGUGCUGCUUCACCAGAAAGAAGCAAGAACUGGGAAAUCUCCCUUCUUGAAAGGCCCUGGGGCACCUGCAAAUAUAUUUUGGUGUUCUAAAGAGACAUGAAGAGAAGUCUCUCUGAGCAAAAUAAACAAGCUCUGUGUUUGGGAUCUUUUCCCCCAUCUUUUUGAGAAGACCUGCAUUUUUUUGGGAAGAACAGUGAUGGAGAGACACUAUAAAUCCCUCACACUUGUAGUCCCCACUAACCAUCUGAAUCAGCUGUCAUUACCACCUACUCCAUAAAAAUAAAGCUGAAAUGUCUCUUUAAACCUUUGCCUCCAGCUGCACACAGAGAACACCAUGCAAGUCUUUCUGAAAAGGAAAAAGAAGAGUAAAAAAAUCAAGUCAAGAAUGUCUCAAAGAAUAAAAAUCCUAAGUCAAGUAAUUGUGUCAAGGUAAACUACCCACAGCUUGCAGAGAAAGUUCUUUUAUCAUGGGGGAUUACUAGGCUGCAACUGGAUUGACAUCAGAUUUAAAAGAAGCCCAAGUGAAUUGAUUUUAAGAGGCCAGAGGCAUUUAAUGGAGUGAGAGGGACAGGGUGAGAUGAGAGGGGCUAGUCAGGAGCUGGAUAACCAGGUGUAGCUGCUGCAAGGGUUGUUAGCAUCCACUGUCUCCUGGAUUUGGCCUGGACUAGCUCUGAAGAAGGGAUCAGAGGUUGGCCUGGACCAGCUCUGAAGAAGGGAUCAGAGGUAGAAAUCAAACACCAAAGGUGAGUUACCAGUCAGCCUGACCUCAGGCACCAGAAGAGCCUCCCUGAGCACUCUGAACACGUGUAUGGGCGCCAGGCCUGAAGGAAAAUUCACAUUUUCCCACCAGCACUCCUAUUUAAGUGAGAUCACACCUGGCUGACGGUUCUCACCCAAUAAAACCAACACCCGAGGCUGACACGUCGAGCUUUAUUUUCUUGUAUUUUCCUUCUAAUCUAGUUCUCCCUUCCAAGGGCACAUUGAGUUCCUCUCCCUCGGGAAUCACUCGUUCAGCCAAGCCCCGGCCCAAUACCGGGCACAGAGCGCCCUUGUCUCCACCGAGGAGCCCGACACCGGGAAAACCCCUGGGGCAGAGCGGGGAUUUCCCCACUGGGGGCCCUCGGGAGCGCACCCGGACCCUCACGGGCUCUCCCAGGCCACGGGAACACUCCUGGCCCCUCAGGAACGCUUCAGGUCCCUCACGGGCUCUCCCAGGUCACGGGAACGCUUCGGGGCCCUCACGGGCUCUCCCGAGCCACGGGAACACUCCCGGCCCCUCCCGGGCUCUCCUGGGCCACAAGAACGCUUCUGGGCCCUCACGGGCUCUCUCGGCCCACGGGAACGCUUCUGGGCCCUCACGGGCUCUCCCGGGCCCCGGGAACGCUCCCGGUCCCUUCAAGGGCUCUCCCGGGCCCCGGGAACGCUCCCGGUCCCCUCGAGGGCUCUCCCGGGCCACGGGAACGCUCCCUGUCCCUUCGAGGGCUCUCAAGGGCCACGGGAACGCUCCCGGUCCCUUCGAGGGCUCUCCCGGGCCACGGGAACGCUCCCCCCCCCCCCCCCCCCCCCCCCCCCCCCCCCCCCCCCCCCCCCCCCCCCCCCCCCCCCCCCCCCCCCCC
rnacentral:lncRNA from 12 species